GAUGAACGCUGGCGGCGUGCCUAAUACAUGCAAGUCGGGCGAACAGACGAGGAGCUUGCUCCUCUGACGUUAGCGGCGGACGGGUGAGUAACACGUGGAUAACCUACCUAUAAGACUGGGAUAACUUCGGGAAACCGGAGCUAAUACCGGAUAAUAUAUUGAACCGCAUGGUUCAAUAGUGAAAGACGGUUUUGCUGUCACUUAUAGAUGGAUCCGCGCCGCAUUAGCUAGUUGGUAAGGUAACGGCUUACCAAGGCGACGAUGCGUAGCCGACCUGAGAGGGGGAUCGGCCACAUUGGAACGGAGACACGGGCCAGACUACUACGGGAGGCAGCAGUAGGGAAUCGUACGCAAUGGGCGAAAGCCUGACGGAGCAACGCCGCGUGAGUGAUGAAGGUCUUCGGAUCGUAAAACUCUGUUAUUAGGGAAGAACAAAUGUGUAAGUAACUAUGCACGUCUUGACGGUACCUAAUCAGAAAGCCACGGCUAACUACGUG
rnacentral:rRNA from 1 species